GCCAGUGUGGCGUAGUGGUUUGAGUGUCAGACUAUGACUCCGGAGACAAGGGUUUGAUUCCCAGCUCAGCCA